UACGUAGGGUGCAAGCGUUGUCCGGAAUUAUUGGGCGUAAAGAGCUCGUAGGCGGCUUGUCGCGUCGACUGUGAAAUCCCGCGGCUCAACUGCGGGUCUGCAGUCGAUACGGGCAGGCUAGAGUACUGCAGGGGAGACUGGAAUUCCUGGUGUAGCGGUGAAAUGCGCAGAUAUCAGGAGGAACACCGGUGGCGAAGGCGGGUCUCUGGGCCGAUACUGACGCUGAGGAGCGAAAGCGUGGGGAGCGAACAGG
rnacentral:rRNA from 1 species